rnacentral:rRNA from 1 species
UACGGAGGGUGCAAGCGUUAUCCGGAUUCACUGGGUUUAAAGGGUGCGUAGGUUGAUAGGUAAGUCAGUGGUGAAAUACUCCGACUCAAUCGGAGAACUGCCGUUGAUACUAUCUAUCUUGAAUACGGUGGAGGCGGGCGGAAUGCGUCAUGUAGUGGUGAAAUACUUAGAUAUGACGCAGAACACCCAUUGCGAAGGCAGCUCGCUACACCGGCAUUGACACUGAGGCACGAAAGCGUGGGGAGUCAAACAGG